AUCACUAAAUCCCAUCCCUGGCAACACACCCCCUCACUCUUCAUAGAUCUAAACUUACUCCCUGUUCAGUACAUCCACACUUACUACUGUGCAAUCUACAUCUACAGGACCUUAAAUUCCAAUAUUAACCUUGACCUAAAACGCUUUCUUGAUAGUUGCGACAGAACCCACAGGCACAAUACCAGACACAAACAUCUCUAUGACAUUCCCCGUGUCCGACUAAACCUUUACAAAAAUUCAAUGUAUGUCAAAGGCCCUAAAAUCUGGAACACCCUACCUGAAAAUUCUAAAACUGCAGACACAUUCAUCACCUUCAAAACUACCAUCAGAAAACAUCUUAUCUCCCUGAUACACCCUGUCAACUAAUUACACGAAUACCACCUGGUGGUUAACACUUACACUCACUCGCCCAUUUGACCAUAAACAGAAAUAUCAAUCUCAAUCUCAAAGUAAUGAAUCUUAACUAGUCAUAAGUUGGCCUGUGAUACUCCAAUACUGAAACUAUGUAUAGUGCCAAAACAAAAGCAUUCACAUUGCUAAACUCACAAACUAGUAUUUAGUCACUUAGCCAUAAUACCAACUUACCUCAUAAUUUUGUAAUAUUUUAAACUUAAGAUUUAAUUUAAGUCUGCCCGAAAUGCCUAGCCAUGCUAGGUGUUCUAGUGGUACACUCUGUAAUUAUUAUUUUACUACAUGUAAACAAUACAAUAACCAAAUUCUGUAAACUCAGCAUUGUAAUCCUUAUAGAGAAUAAACUUUGAAUGUUUCUAGAAAAACUGAGUGUUGAAAUGGAGGUUGCCUCUUCCCCAGAUUUAUACGAGAACCAAACAAGGGAUAAGGUGCCUCACGACAGUCUGGGAUUAGUGUGGGAGUAUUAUCCUUCCAUUUAUGUCUUGGAAGAGUACCUGACAUUGCUUUGGGAACAGAGUUGGAUUUGACUUUGGAUACGCUGCCAAUUAGCGGCGGAUCUGGAGCUCGCUUGUAACUAGGAUUUUGGCUUGCAACUUGAAGCAAAAAAUCAACAGAGCGACAACUCAUAACUCGGAAAACUCUUUUAGGCUGACCUUCUGGAACGGAUUACGGCUGAUAACCGAGACCACUGUACGUGAUAACUAAAGUCUAAACAAGGUGACCAGAGAACAGGCUAUCUGCAACAGGGAUGGCAGAAGCACACUCGGCAGUGGCAUUCUCCUUUGCCAUCACUCAUGAAGGAGUUCAUGUGAAUUAUGACCGGGAAGUACUCCACGUCAUUUGGCAUUCUGGAGUUAGGACAUGGCGACGAGGUAUCCGCCGAUUCAUUGUAAGUGCUUGUAAUUUAAUUCUUAAC